rnacentral:RNase_P_RNA from 1 species
CGAGCAAGCUGGGCAGCCGCGGGGGCAGUGUAACACCUGCCCGCGAGGAAAGUCCGAGCUCCGCAGAGCAGGAUAACGGCUAACGGCCGCCGAGGGUGACCUUAGGGAAAGUGCAACAGAGAUAUACCGCCCGUCUUUGGCGGGUAAGGGUGGAAAGGGGAGGUAAGAGCUCACCGGCGUGCAGGAGACUGUGCGGCCCUGCAAACCCUAUCCGGAGCAACACCGAAAGGGGCGUAUGCGCCUGCCCGGCGCGCCCUUAAGCGUGGCAUGAACGCCAUGGCGACAUUGCGUCAAGAUAGAUAGCUACUCACGACAGAACUCGGCUUACAGAUUUGCUCGCUCC